UUAGAAUUUAAGCUAUCAACAAUGGAAGAUAUUAUUUUGAUAAAUUCAAUGAAAAAUUGAAAGGCGAAAAAUAUAAAAAUAAAAUGAAUAAACGUAUAUACUUUUCUCUUGAUGGAAAAAAUACUUUUACCCGUAAUAUGGGAAAUAUUACUCGUGUUUAUAUAUCAAGAGAUGUCAUAUGUAGCAGUUAAAGCAACUUCAAAAAAAAGUUUUCAAAGAUACGACUUUUUCACUUCUAUAAAAAGUAUGUUAAUCUAUAUAUAGUGCAGAAUUACUAUCAUUGAUACCUAAUUAAUUAUUUCUUAAUUAUAUGUUAUUAUUUUAUACCUAAUAAUAAUUAUUUUUUACUA